ACAGCAAAACUGGAAAAGUUGCCACAGCGUCUUUACAUCGUCUUUGUCAGAAGUGAGGUUAGUUUCUAUGUUUGUAAAUGAAUCUGGGGGCAUCGUUUGUGCAAAGUGUGAAACCUCCCCCCACUCAAGUGCUUCCAUUACCAGAGGCGCGACUACUGGAUGCUCUAUGUACCCAUCCAAAUUUAGAAGAGAUAGUCAUGAAGAUUCAAAAUGACUCUUGAAGAAUUCGCACGCCUGAAGAGUGGUGCACUAAGCUACUAAGAGCCCUUCGAAGAAGUACAAGAAGAAGAAUCAGAAGAAGAAGAAGUAGAAGAACAUGAAAAAAAGAGGUUCACAGGAAGAAGUACAAAAUUCAGCAAGAUGGCACAUAGCUUGAAUGUUAAAGGCUACUCGCAACUCCUAGUUACGGCUCAAAUUGCAGCCAGAUUGUAUAAAGUUGUUAUUGUGACAUGUCUAACUUCUCAGUCACUGUGAUUUAUAAUAGAUACACAAUUUCUUGCCCACCGCCAAUAAAUAUUUAAUUGGUAGCUGAA
rnacentral:lncRNA from 1 species